UUUCGUUUCUCUAAUCUUUUCCAAUUUUAAUUUCUUUUCCAUUCUCUUAAAUGUCAUUUAGAAUAUUCUCUCUAGGUAUGCACUUUCCCAUCAAAUUUCAUCUUAUCCACCCUCAUAUAUCUACUCUUCUUAUUUAAUUUGCUUAUUUAUCAUAUUGUCAUGCAAACUUUCUUGAUCUACCCUUAACCCAAUCACUUGGAAAAAAGAGCCUAUUACUAAUUACCGGCUUGCUAUCUCUAGCCUCCCCUAGCAAUUAAGAAUGCAUAAUAAACAGAAGCAAAAUAAAUUGAUCGUCCUACCCCUAUCCCUAGGUGGUAUUGUUUAAUCAAGGAAUCCCCC
rnacentral:lncRNA from 1 species